ACAUGAGAAACUGCUUUAUUGUACAUGCUUGUAUUUUUCUGUUAUGUACCUAAUAUGGGUAUUUAAAGCCAUUUACCAAAGUGUCUUUUAAAGCGCUGUGUAUUUUAAUCUGCACCAAGCUUUCAUUGCCAAUGGUAGGUAUCCUGUGUUGUACUUCCAGGUUCUCCUUUGAGUCUGCCUGUUCUUCUGAACUAUAAAAGCUCUUCUCCACAGUCCAGUAAUAGGUGCAUUUUGACAGUUUCAGCUUUAAUGUGCCCAGGAUAGAGUCUGAAAGUUAAGUGCUAUUUGAGUAUGCACUUUUAUGGUGGCAAAUGUGUACUCCAGGCAAAAGUAUGUUGGUGUCCACUAUAGGAAGAGAAGGAAUAGAAGGAUCACACUGCUAGAAGAAAGAGUGGUAACAGAACCAGAGGUGACAGCCUAGGACAUGAGACUUUAAGGAUCCCUUAGAAAACAAAUACCAGUUAGAGUAAGAAAAGGUUGUGGGAGCCAAGAGGACAAAACUGGGUGAUGGACUGGAGCGCAAUUCACAAAUGUCAUUGAACAGAAAUGUGUCGUUUGCAGUGCUGCUGUAGCUGUGUUCGUUCCAGGAUACUAGAGAGACAAGAUUGCAGUUUGGAUACACAGAAGCUUAAAAAUGUAGCCCUACUGAUUGGGAGGUUCUCAGAAGAGUGGGGGAAAUGCCACUCUGUAGAACUGUCAGCAAGAGUCAAUGAAACACUUUCAAUGGAAAAUGAAAACUGUCCUUUGACAAUCUCUUUGGAUCUAAGAACAUAGAAUUUGCCACGCCAGCUCAAACCAUUUCUCCAUCAAAUAUGGUAUCCUGGCUCUGUCAGUACUUCAGAGGAAAGUGAAAACUACUGCAAUCCUCCUCGUCCAUUGGGAAAUAAAGCAGGAGAAAAAAAUGCUUCCUGGUUCAUGCAUGGUAAGCAUAUGCCCUGAAAAAUUAGAUUUUAUUAUGGUUUCACAGGAGGCUUGACUCAGUGGUGGAAUUUUAGAUUCCUUGUAUGUUGUGGCAUAUCUAGUAAUUUAUGUGGCCAGACACACAUCUAACUAAUCCAAAAUAAAAUGUACACUGCCCUCCUUCCCUCCUCUCCUGAUUAUGCCUGGAGAGACGAAGAAACUAUCCCUCAGAUUUAAGAAAUUUGUAGCACCAAAGGAAAAGGGGGGUUACUGCUAUCUGCUGCUCACAUCCAGAAAUGCCACACUCCCCUUCCACCACGGCAAUUAACUUAAUUUGACAAACCACACCAAGAACCAGGCACAGUCUCACAUUCUAUUCAUUCUGUACAGUGAAUACUCUUAAAAACCAUCAACAUGACAGAAGAACUGUGUCUAAUUAACACUCCCCUAAUAUCUCAGCAAAUAACAAACCUGCUGUUGAGAAAAAUACUUUCACACUUCCUUAUCAAAUUAGGGCAAAAGCGCUCCUAAUGAGCUAAAAUCAAUUAAGGCGACAUUAAAAUGAAUUGAUUUUUGCUGUCAGCAAAAGAUAUUUGCCUUGUAGUUUGCAAUGUGAAAAGGAGAUGCUAAAGCUUUUUAGUGCAGUUAAUGAGGGGCUGGUGCUUGAAGGUGUUACCAGUGAGAAAAUUACAUCUGACUGAGAUUUAUGCUGGUAUAGCAGCAGCUCACAUGCAAUGCUGGACACAUCAAAGGGGUAUUGUUUGGAAUUUUUGAAUUUUAAUGUCGCUCUUAUUCAAAACAAAGUAAAUAACAGAGGCCCAUAUGUUUCCCUGCUGCAUGAAUGCAGGUGGAGAGGAACAAUGCAGUGUGAAAACCUGCAGCUCCAGUGGAGAUAUAGAGUCCAGGCAUCCUCCUUUUGGUCCACAAGGCCAGCAGCUGGACCAAGUGCGUAGAUGGAGGGACCUGAAAAGAUAGUGGAGUCCAGGGGAUCCUGGACCCACUGAAGUCAGUGAAAGUUUUGACAUCAGCUUCAGUGGGGCCAGGAUUCCCACCUCAGAGAUCUAUGUCUUCCACCUACCAAUGUUCAGCUGCUGUAUUCCAACUGCACUUUCCCAAGUCUUCCUGAAUGUUUUAUGUAUCCCACAAUCCCAAAUUCCAACUGACACCUCUGAACUUGUUAAGAUUUGAAGAGACGAAGUGGGUGAGGUAAUCUCUUUUAUUGGACCAACUUCUGUUGGUGCGUGAGACAAGAUUUGAAGGCCAUAGUCAGCCAGCAGAUUUUAAAAUCUGAAUGAGGCUUGGGAUCCAUUUCAAAUUUGGGUGAAGUUCAUGCUGUUUUUUGUCUUUGCCCAAACCAGUCUGUAUGCCAUUGCCAGGCUCUUCAUUGCUCAGGGAGGUUGAGUUAUACACUCAGAGGGAUAUAUAUUCAGUCCACAUGUGGUAUUAUUGGAAAUACUGGGUAUAGAGCAAGAGCAUUGUACAGCCCACAAUUUAAACCAGAAAAUCUUGUGAUCCAUUUUGCAAUCAAACAUUGCUAACGCUAUAUUCAGCUAUCUGGAAUGUUAUGAACAUCUCAGGCUGCAUUACAUUUCUUCUGUGCUUAGUCAGAAUCGAUAUAAACUAGACUAGACUAUGAAGAGGGAUGACAACUCUCUGAAUAAUGGUGGAGUUUGAGCCAAAUUGGAGAAGAGACACUUUAUUGCACCAUUGUCCACACUGGGUGAGCAAAAUGCUGACAUUAGCAAUGUACCUGAUUCUCCUCUCACUUAGACUGAUAUAAAUCAGGAGUAAGUCAAUGAAGUUACAUGGUUUCAGAGCCAAUGUCAGAGAAGGAUAAAGUUCAAUUUGUGUAAAAGAUGCGAAGAUGAGAACUGACAAGGACUAGGGUCCUUUCUCAUUUAGAAAUUCAAAGUACAGGGGGGGUUAUUUACCAUUUGGCCAGGUGUUUGUAUGUUCUCAAAACUGUAGGCGUGGCAUCUGUUUCUAUCUGUUUGGAUUUUCACAGCUAGGUAUAAUGGAUUAUUAAUAAUGAUAAACAAACAUAUAUUUGAUCAGAGUUUAAAAAAUACUGAUAUUCAAUAUUUAAGGCAUUUUUACUCAAUUAGCUAUGUCCCACAAAAAAGAAGAAGAUUGAAAAUGAUCAUUAACUACAAGACAAAAACAAAUUGUGAAAAUCAAUCUUACUCAAGUUUUUUGAUUUAAAACAUUUAAUCAAAUUAGAGGACAACAUCACUAAAAACACAAAACAGAACUAAAUGGUAAUUGGUUUUAAUCAUAUUCAUUGUUUAUGGCUACCUUAAAUCAUCAUGCUGUAAUGCUAGCAUAUACCAAACCUGUUCUUGACCUUGGAGUUAAUUGCUCAGAAGCUUUAUUUAUUGCUAAUGUGCUGAUAUAUUUGUGUGUGUGUGUGUGUGUGUGUGUGUAUUAUAUAUACACUCAAACACACACACACACACACAUAUAUACUCACACACACACACACAUAUAUGUAUAUAUAUAAAAAUAAGAGGGAAAUAGAUGUAACAUGGACGGAAAUAACAACAUAGAAUCCGAUUACAUUUAAAGCCCUUAGUGAUGAUGAGGGAAUCUAAAGAAUCAUGAUAAGAGACUUCCAUGGUUAUUUCAUGAAGAAAGUAUUUUUAUGGUUAAAAUAAAUCAGCUCUUCAAUAAUGCAAUACCCUUUUAAUCUAUUUAUGCCAUGCUACUCAGUAUAAACUACUGAAAUUGUGUAAAAGCCAUUUAGCCUUCUCUUGACAGAUUAAUGAAAUGGGACUCUUAGACCAAGUUACCCAGCUUAUGCAUUAAGGCCAAAUCCUCAGCCCCAGACAUAGAUGAGCAAUUGAACUGGGCAGAUGUGGAAGGUGGCAGAAUUUUCCACCCCAAGCUGUAUAGCAACCCCAGAUCCACACCAAGGAAGCUACUUGAGCCGUGGUCCCAAUGCACCUUUUCAGCCCAGUUUCUGUCCCCUCUUUUCUUAGUGGAAUAGCCCAAUUCCCUAAGAGGGGCCUGUGGGACCUGUGGUAGCAUGGUAUGCCCACUUACACUCACUUUGCACAGGUGUAAAUGACUACACUAAAUGUAACACAGUGCAGAAUCAGUUCCAGUGUGCCUGCAAGGCAUGCUGGGGUUCAGACUUUAAAUUGCUUCACUGUCCAGCCAAGGAGCCAAUUUAUCUUUGCUAUUAGAUAAGGAAAGCUAUUUCCUACAGCGUAGUUCUCCAUGGAAGUUAAAUACUUCUCCAGAAUCUCUUGAUCUUUAUGAUUUGCAGCAGGAACUGGCUUUGCACUUUGAAACAGCAGCUCUACAUUAGAGGGGUUGCAUUCCCUGGAGAGGGAGUCAUGGUAUAUGGGUUCUAAAACUGGCUCUGUCACUGUCUUAGACUAUGUCUAUAUUUUUGUCGGUAUAACUUAUGUCUCUCAAGGGUAUGAAAAAACACACCCCGAGUGACAUAAGUUACACCGACAGAAGGGCCGAUGGAUUCAGCGCUAUGUCAGCAGGAGAUGCUCUCCUGCUGACCUAGCUAUGGCCGCUCAUUGGGGGUGUUUUAAUUAUGCUGGCAGGAGAGCUCUCUCCCAUCAUCUUAAAGCAGCUACACAGGAGAUCGUACAGCGGUGCAGCUGCAUCAGUACAGCUGUGCCACUGUAAGGUCUCAUGUGUGGACAUGGCCUUACUGUAAGACUAAGGCAAAUCACGUAAACUCACUCUACAUUACAGGGGUUGCAUUGUUUGGGUAGGAAGUCAAGGUACCCGGGUUCUAAAACUGGCUCUGUCACUGACUUACUGUAAGACUGGGGAAAAUCAUAUAAACCCACUGUGCCUCAAUUUCCCCAAGCUGUAAAAUGGGGAUAAUUCCUAUUUCACAAGACUACUGGUGUUGUUAUUGCUUGUAAAGCAUUGUCUGAUCUCUGAUAAAAGGCUCUGUAGAAGAGUACAGGCUCUUCUGAGCAUGUCCUAGGAGAAUGGGCCCAUAGAAUGUCUAAUAUAGUGUUCCAUGUCCACCAAUAGAAGGAAGAGUUUGUUCACCUUGAACACUUCUUCGAAUAUGUGGAGAAAUGCUAACAGCCAUGAGCACUAUUUCUUUUUUAAAAGAAGAUUCCCCUUUAAAAUAAAAAUGAACCAUUAUGUAGCUUUGGAUAAUGUAUCCAAUAGAAGAUAGGGCUUUUUCCCUCUGAAAUAACAAAACAGAAAUAUUUGGCUACUGCAGUAAUGAGUUGAGUAAAUGCUUUUAACAACAUGUUUGUUUUCAAAUACCUUAAGCAUUUCAGAUCCCAGAACAUAUCUUUGUAAGCUAAAGAUGUUUUUAUGUACAACUUGUUAUUUACUUCAAUUAUCAAAUAUUUCUUGCACAUCUCUUUAUAUCCAUGUGUUUGUUGCUGGGUUUCUGACAUAUUUAAUGUUAUUAGACUGUACAAGAAAAUUGUGUGCUUUGAUUUAUUUAGAAAAACUGAACAUUGUUUACGUGUAUAUCUUCACUGCAAGACAGCUACAGAAACAGUGAAAACAAAGCAAGCUUGAACAGCAGAAGACAUAUCUGUAUAUAUAUUUUUACAAAAGCA